rnacentral:lncRNA from 1 species
UGGUUCUAAAGGACUGCGGUUGCAGGCAUGCACUACCACACUGAACACUGCACUGAGGGUCACAUCCUGGGCUUUGUUCAUACUGGGCAAGCAUUCUGACAGCUGAGCUGCAUCUCUAGCCCUUCUUUGGUGUUUAACUUCUGUGAAGCUAGCACUUUGAAACUUACUUUGAGGCCAGCAAGGUGGCUGAGCAGUUAAAGUACCUAGCUGCCAAGGACAACCUGAGUUUAAGUCUCAGGACCCACAUGGAAGGAGAGAACCGGCUCCCAUAGACCACGUGUACAGUGACAUGCAUGUGUGCGCACACACGCAAAUAAAACAUAAAAGGAAUUCUUAGUUUGGACCUAAAGUAAUUACAUUUUCAGGGGAUAAUGUGAUAAUUGAUAUAUGUAUAUAAUGUGAAAUCAUCAAAUCAGGGUAGUGAGUUUCCAUCUCAAACUUUAUUAUUUCUUUGUCUUGAAAACCUUCAAAUUCCUUUAUAAAAUAUGUCAGGUGUGAACUGUAGUCAGCCUACCUACCAAGAACACUAGAAUUUAUUCCUCCUGUGUAGCUUUCACUUCUAAUCAUACAGCCUUCUACAAUAUCCGGAAUUAUUUCUUCCUCUUCCUCCUCCUUUCUUUCCUCCUCUUCAUCAUUAUCUUCCUCUUCUUCCUCCUCUUCCUUUUCCUCCUCACUAGCGGCUACUCUUCUCAGUUUCAAUGAGAUCAACUUUAGGGUUUUUGUUUAUUUAGCUUCCAUCAAGAACAUGUAAUAUCUGUCUCUGGCUUGUAAACAGUAAAUCUGUCCCCUCUUUUAGCCCCUGCUCCCAGAAUAAUGGCUUGGAGACUAAUACUUUAUUAAGAAAUGCCUUGACAAUAAGCUUCGCCUCAUUCCCCAACUAGCUUAUUAGUUAUUUAACCCAUUCAAACUACCCUAUGGCUUCCGCGUGGUUCGUUACCUCUCCUCGGCUUUAUGUGAUCAACUCUGGCUUGAUGUGACCAAGACCCGGGGCAAAUGUCUUCAUUCUGUCCGGAGUCCAUUCUGUGGAGCUGCUGGUGUAUGUGCCUCUCCUCAGCUUUCCAGCCCAGAUCUCACGCCACUCCCUAUUUCCCAGAAUCCUCUCUCUUCCUACCAGUGUCCCACCUCCUAUUUCCUGCCUCAGCUCAUUGGCCAUAGGCUUUCUGAUUGACAGGUGUUGCUUAGAUUCUCUCUAGGCUAGCUUGCUUCAUCUAGCAGAGUGGAGUCUUGUUUCUCCUCAAGCAAGUUGCUGUGAACAAUAGGCUUCUAUUCUUUCUUACGGUCAGAUAUUUCAUUGUGUGCAGCAGGCGCUCUCUGCUCCUCAGAAGGAAGUGACCAUUACUUACGAGCCUUCUAUUAAUGUAAAAACUAAACAUCUAGUUGUCUUUGUUUCCUUUCCUGUUGCUGUGAUAAAAUGCUCCGACAGAAAUGACUUAAAGGAAAGUGGGGUUGUUCAGGCUUCACAGAUGAGGAUACAUACCGUCCAUCAUGCCGGGAAAAGCAAGGCAGCUGGGGCUUGACACAGCGGCUCACAUCACGCCCGUAGUCUAGAAACCAAGGGAUGACGGUGUGCUGGUCCUCAGCUGGCUUUCUCCACUUACACCAUCCAGGAUCCCCUGCCCAGGGAAUAGUCCUGCUCAUGGUGGGCAUGGCCUUCCCACCUCUCCCAGGUGAUUCUGGAUUCUGCCCAGCGGACAACGCUAAUCCACAAGGAUCGCAGCGAUUCACAGGUUUCUAGCGGCAGACAGCAGAAACUAGAGGGAUGCCCCUUAAAUUCUCACGUGCGUUAGGAGGGAAACGGUUGCUGUUCAAGUUGACUGAACGUGUCCUUGGCUUGUUUCUGUCUCAACAGAAAUGAUCCUCUACCUCAUCCUCGUGUCAUGUUAAAAUAGACUGAGAGAGAUCUGGACCAGGGCUUAGGAAGAAGCUCAAAAGCUUGGGUUUAAUCUUUAGCACCAAAAUAAAAACUAAAUGAAACCUACUUAAAAGCCAGCGAAGAUGUGUAGGAAGGGUGUGGCCCCUUGAAGUUUGCAUCUAGGGACACCAGUUUCCCUCCAGUGAGAGAUGCAGUUCUGUCCACAUCCAAGGCCAUGGGAGGGCAGAUCCCUCUGCGAUGAGGUGACUCAGAGGACCAGGAUUCUCCAGCAGACCCUCUGAUUGGCAUCUUAGUUUGUCAGAGAUUUAUACAUGAGCUUAUUCCCUUAAUUCGUUUCUCUGUAACAUGGCACUACUAUUCUUGGGUGAUGGAGGGGAUUUCAUGUUUUCAGCUGACAGAGGUAUCUGAUGCUAGAAAUCUCUCCUUUUAAACAAAUGCCCCUAAUGUCUAAUUGGGUCCCUUGAGCUCAUAGACUAUUCAGAUAAUACCCGGGCUGCCUAAACACACAGAGACACGGAGAAAUGUUCACGAAAGAACCCCAUGAGAUAGCUGGCUAAAAUGUGUGUGUGUGUGCGCGUCCUUAAAGCCAGGUGAAGUGUUGGCUCUACUCCAAGUAUGCUCCAUAAAUGACUACAUUG